UACGUAGGUGACCAGCGUUGUCCGGAUUUACUGGGCGUAAAGAGCGCGCAGGCGGUCGUUCAAGUCGAGUGUGAAAGCCCCCGGCUCAACUGGGGAGGGUCAUUCGAUACUGAUCGACUUGAAGGCAGGAGAGGGAAGUGGAAUUCCCGGUGUAGUGGUGAAAUGCGUAGAUAUCGGGAGGAACACCAGUGGCGAAGGCGGGUCUCUGGACAGUUCCUGACGCUGAGGCACGAAGGUCAGGGGAGCAAACGGG
rnacentral:rRNA from 1 species